rnacentral:rRNA from 1 species
AGGACUAACGCUGGCGGCGUGCCUAACACAUGCAAGUCGAACGGGGUAGCAAUACCCAGUGGCAGACGGGUGAGUAACACGUGGUCAACCUACCUCUGUGUGGGGGAUAACUAGCCGAAAGGUUAGCUAAUACCGCAUACGAUCGUUUUGAGGCAUCUCGAGACGAUGAAAGGAGCAAUCCGCACGGAGAGGGGACUGCGUCCCAUUAGUUAGUUGGUGGGGUAACGGCCUACCAAGACUCCGAUGGGUAGCUGGCUUGAGAGAGCGACCAGCCACACUGGAACUGAGAAACGGUCCAGACUCCUACGGGAGGCAGCAGUGGGGAAUAUUGGACAAUGGGCGCAAGCCUGAUCCAGCCAUGCCGCGUGAGUGAUGAAGGCCCUAGGGUUGUAAAGCUCUUUUGUGCGGGAAGAUAAUGACGGUACCGCAAGAAUAAGCCCCGGCUAACUUCGUGCCAGCAGCCGC